UGGGGAUUUAGCAGAUUCCCCGCUGUCUAUAAGACGCCUCGCGUCCAAAUCUGC
rnacentral:ncRNA from 1 species